GAUGAACGCUGGCGGCGUGCCUAAUACAUGCAAGUCGAACGAUGAAGCCGGAGCUUGCUCCGGUGGAUUAGUGGCGAACGGGUGAGUAACACGUGAGCAAUCUGCCCUUGACUCUGGGAUAACUGCGGGAAACUGUAGCUAAUACCGGAUACGACACCUUGGGGCAUCCCAGGGUGUGGAAAGAAUUUCGGUCAAGGAUGAGCUCGCGGCCUAUCAGCUAGUUGGUGAGGUAAUGGCUCACCAAGGCGACGACGGGUAGCCGGCCUGAGAGGGUGACCGGCCACACUGGAACUGAGACACGGUCCAGACUCCUACGGGAGGCAGCAGUGGGGAAUAUUGCACAAUGGGCGAAAGCCUGAUGCAGCAACGCCGCGUGAGGGAUGAAGGCCUUCGGGUUGUAAACCUCUUUUAGCAGGGAAGAAGCGAAAGUGACGGUACCUGCAGAAAAAGCACCGGCUAACUACGUGCCAGCAGCCGCAGUAA
rnacentral:rRNA from 1 species